CCAAAAAUCUAGCACUAUUCCACUUUUUUUAUAAAAAUCGCAACUAAAAUAUUCUAUUAGUUCAGUAAAGAAGAUUAAAAAACUUUUAAAAGCUAUAAAUCUGUACCGCAAGGGAAAGAUGAAAUAAAAAUGAAACAAAUUUCAAGCAUAAAAAAGUAGAGAUCUACCCUCGUACCUUUUGCAUCAUGGUUUAGCUAGUCUAAUUAGGCAAAAAGAUCUUAAGUCUAACCCCCCGAAACUAAGUGAGCUAUUUUAGGGCUGCUUAUUGAGCUAACCCAUCUAUGUAGCAAAAUAGUGGGAGGACCCUAAAAUAGAGGUGAUAAGCCUAACGAACCUAGUAAUAGCUGGUUUCUCAAGAAAAGAAUCUUAGUUCAGCCUAAAGUUACACCAAACCGCCAUAAUUUUCCCCGCCCCCUUUAGAGUAAUUCAAACGAGGUACAGCCCGUUUGACACAGGAUACAACCUUUACUUAUGGGUAAAUAUUAACCUAACCUCAAGUAGGCCUAAGAGCAGCCACCUUUUAAAAAGCGUCAAAGCUUACCCCCCCCCCCAAUUCUUAAACUCAUAUUAAACCCUUUAAUCAUAUUGAGAACUUCUAUAAUCUUAUAGAACUUUUUAUGCUAAAACUAAUAACAAGAGAUAAUCCUCUCUAAAAUACAAAUUUAAGCCAGCAAGAAACCACCACUGGCAAUCAACAGCCCUCCACCAAAAUAGUAACCUAACUAGAAAAUACUAUUACCCAAACUGUUAACCUUACACCAGAGUAUUUCAAGAAAGAUUAAAAGAAAAAGAAGGAAUUCGGCAAAUACUAAUCCCGCCUGUUUACCAAAAACAUCGCCUCUUGACCCCUAUAAGAGGUCCAGCCUGCCCAGUGACUCUGUUCAACGGCCGCGGUAUUCUAACCGUGCGAAGGUAGCGUAAUCACUUGUUUUCUAAAUAAAGACUAGUAUGAAAGGCACCACGAGGAUUAAACUGUCUCCUUUUUCCAAUCAGUGAACCUAAUCUCCCCGUGAAGAAGCGGGGAUUUUAAUAUAAGACGAGAAGACCCUGUGGAGCUUAAAACAUAAUUACAUCUGCCCCCCUCUUUCCUAUACCCCAGGUAAUUUACCUAAAAGCACUUUGAUUAAAAUGUUUUUGGUUGGGGUGACCGCGGAGAAAAUCCCACCCUCCGUAAUGAAAGGGGCCUUCCCCUAAACUAUAAGCCACAUCUUUAUGUAUCAAAAAAUUGACAUCAUCGACCCAAUAAUUGAUCAAUGGACCAAGUUACCCCAGGGAUAACAGCACAAUCCACUUUAAGAGCUCCUAUCGACAAGUGGGCUUAUGACCUCGAUGUUGGAUCGGGAUAUCCUAGUGGUGCAGCCGCUACUAAAGGUUCGUUUGUUCAACGAUUAAAAUCCCACGUGAUCUGAGUUCAGACCGGAGUAAUCCAGGUCGGUUUCUAUCUAUAAUAGCGCUAAUUUCAGUACGAAAGGACCAAAAUAGCAUGGCCUAUACCCCUACAAGCCAUAAUUGACCAUUUUAGACCCACACUCAAAAAAUAAUCAACCUCCCCCACCUCCCCC
rnacentral:rRNA from 1 species